AGUUGGCCGUCCCACGGCUACCCCCACGACGGCGGCGAGCGGCCACCCUUCGUCCUCAUCGAGCCCGACGCCUGCUUGGCCAACUGCAUCAACGCCACCACCGCCAGCACCCCAAUUCUGUACGACGCCGAGCUCGAGGGCUGCAGCAUCCAGGUCACCUUCUGCGCCGUCCACCCGCCGGACGUCUCUCACCUGUGCGUCCACGCCGUAGGCUUGGACGACACCCUGUUCCCCCACCCGCCCCGCAUCCUCGCCACCGAGGCGGACGGCAGCCUCCUCCUGCUAUGCGUCCCCAUCCCCAUCCGCGGCGACCCGUACCCGCCCUGUGCCUAUGUCCCCAUCACCCGAGAAGAGUACUUCGUCUACCACCCCCGCGUCCCUGCGCUCGAGCACCUUCGGCACCCGGAACCCGGCACCGGCAGCAUCCCCUGCUUGAUUGAGGGCACGGUUGCCAUCGUGCGCAAGUGCAGCCAACACCAACGACCCCAUGGAGCCGGCGGCCAUGACUGCAGCUACGUCAUUGCUGCGCAAUCUCUAAGGUUCGGGACUGGCUACCCUUGCCAACUCUACGUCUAUCACUCCAACACCUCCUCCUGGAAGACUCCGUCCGUGGCAUUCGACACGCCGCUCGAUUUGGAAUACCAAACACACAAGACAAUCUUCAUCGGAGGAGAAAAGGGGACUCUCGCCUGGGUCGACCUCUCCGGAACCAUCGUAUUGUGGGACGUUCUCGGCAAGGGCGCGCUGCGCCGCCCCAAGUUCCGGCAGCUGCAACUCCCGGGGCCCGUCGAGGAGGGCAGCGACGCGUCCACUCGCGACAUUGCCGUCCUCGGUUCAUCCAUCAACUACGUCGUAAUGGAGUUCUCUGCCCGUGGUUGGAAGGCCACGGUAUGGAGCAUCAGAACCGACCCCUUCGUCCCUGAGGAGGGUUGGGGCAUCCGUUACCAUCUCGAUUCCUCUGGUUUACAAGGUUUCGAAGGUGGCCCGGCUACGGCUCCUUACAUCGGCCUGCCCAAGCUGAGCCUGCAGGACGAUGCCAUUGUUUACUUCCAGACCAUGUAUGACUACCGCGACACGCACCACACACCAUGGGUGAUUGCCGUUGACAUGAGCAACAAGACUGUCCAGAAAGUGGGCAAGUUUGUUCCCUCGGCGGCUUUUGGUUUGUGCCACGACUACGAUACAAGUAGGAUCUCCAAAUAUCUCAAAGUUGCUCCACGUAACUAA
rnacentral:rRNA from 1 species